CGGUGAUGACGACGACGACGGACCGACCAUGAGGAGGCGGCUGCGGGAGGCGGCUAGGGUGCACAGAGAGGAGUAGAAGCAUCUUGGUUAUAGCGCAUGCCUUGAUAGAGAGUUGUGCUGAAGUCAAAGACAAGCAACCUUUGUUGCUUCAUCACUAGAGGUUCUAGAAAAGUUAUUGGAAUACACUGUUUAGCAUUUGAUAAAGGGGUGCCUAAGAUGCCAAAAGGUAAUACGAUAUUAUCUAGUGGGUUUAUUUCCAUUGAUGCAGAACAGAAGAGUGAAUGAAGGAAAGCCCCUUCUGAUAACCGUUCGAAAAUAAAUGUUCAUGGCACAUUUGCUGGAUAUUUCGGAAAUCCAGAAGUCUGAAUUUUCUGUUCCUUUCCUGAAGCAUCUGUGUGGAGGUACUGAAUUGUUUUUGGCACGUCAAAGCCUCACAAGGACGUUCAGGAGGUAUAUAAAUAUAUACUGAUGGGCAUCAACUUGGCCUUUUUACAUAA